rnacentral:rRNA from 1 species
UUUAGCAAUAGAGAUAGUGGCGCACGGGUGCGUAACGCGUAACCAACCUACCCGAAUCUGGGGGAUAGCCCGCCGAAAGGCGGAUUAAUACCGCAUAAAACGGCAGACCGGCAUCGGUUCACCGUUAAAGAUUUAUUGGAUUCGGAUGGGGUUGCGUGCCAUUAGCUAGUUGGCGGGGUAACGGCCCACCAAGGCGACGAUGGCUAGGGGAGCUGAGAGGCUGGUCCCCCACACGGGCACUGAGAUACGGGCCCGACUCCUACGGGAGGCAGCAGUAGGGAAUAUUGGGCAGUGGUCGAGAGACUGACCCAGCCAUGCCGCGUGCAGGAUGAAGGCUUUCUGAGUCGUAAACUGCUUUUACCAGGGAAGAAAAAAGGGGAUGCGUCCUCUACUGACGGUACCUGGUGAAUAAGCACCGGCUAACUCCGUGCCAGCAGCCGCGGUAAUACGGAGGGUGCAAGCGUUGUCCGGAUUCAUUGGGUUUAAAGGGUGCGUAGGCGGCUUUUUAAGUCCGGGGUGAAAGCCCGUUGCUCAACAACGGAACUGCCCCGGAAACUGGAGAGCUUGAGUACAGACGAGGGUGGCGGAAUGGACGGUGUAGCGGUGAAAUGCAUAGAUACCGUCCAGAACCCCGAUUGCGAAGGCAGCUGCCUAGACUGUA